rnacentral:rRNA from 1 species
UACGUAGGGUGCAAGCGUUGUCCGGAAUUAUUGGGCGUAAAGAGCUCGUAGGUGGUUUGUCGCGUCCGCUGUGAAAACCCGAGGCUCAACCUCGGGCCUGCAGUGGGUACGGGCAGACUAGAGUGUGGUAGGGGAGACUGGAAUUCCUGGUGUAGCGGUGAAAUGCGCAGAUAUCAGGAGGAACACCGAUGGCGAAGGCAGGUCUCUGGGCCACUACUGACGCUGAGAAGGCGAAAGCAUGGGGAGCGAACAGG